GACGAACGCUGGCGGCGUGCUUAACACAUGCAAGUCGAACGGAAAGGCCCUGCUUUUGUGGGGUGCUCGAGUGGCGAACGGGUGAGUAACACGUGAGUAACCUGCCCUUGACUUUGGGAUAACUUCAGGAAACUGGGGCUAAUACCGGAUAGGAGCUCCUGCUGCAUGGUGGGGGUUGGAAAGUUUCGGCGGUUGGGGAUGGACUCGCGGCUUAUCAGCUUGUUGGUGGGGUAGUGGCUUACCAAGGCUUUGACGGGUAGCCGGCCUGAGAGGGUGACCGGCCACAUUGGGACUGAGAUACGGCCCAGACUCCUACGGGAGGCAGCAGUGGGGAAUAUUGCACAAUGGGCGGAAGCCUGAUGCAGCAACGCCGCGUGCGGGAUGACGGCCUUCGGGUUGUAAACCGCUUUCGCCUGUGACGAAGCGUGAGUGACGGUAAUGGGUAAAGAAGCACCGGCUAACUACGUGCCAGCAGCCGCGGUGAUACGUACGGUGCGAGCGUUGUCCGGAUUUAUUGGGCGUAAAGGGCUCGUAGGUGGUUGAUCGCGUCGGAAGUGUAAUCUUGGGGCUUAACCCUGAGCGUGCUUUCGAUACGGGUUGACUUGAGGAAGGUAGGGGAGAAUGGAAUUCCUGGUGGAGCGGUGGAAUGCGCAGAUAUCAGGAGGAACACCAGUGGCGAAGGCGGUUCUCUGGGCCUUUCCUGAUGCUGAGGAGCGAAAGCGUGGGGAGCGAACAGGCUUAGAUACCCUGGUAGUCCACGCUGUAAACGGUGGGUACUAGGUGUGGGGUCCAUUCCACGGGUUCCGUGCCGUAGCUAACGCUUUAAGUACCCCGCCUGGGGAGUACGGCCGCAAGGCUAAAACUCAAAGGAAUUGACGGGGCCCCGCACAAGCGGCGGAGCAUGCGGAUUAAUUCGAUGCAACGCGUAGAACCUUACCUGGGUUUGACAUGGAUCGGGAGUGCUCAGAGAUGGGUGUGCCUCUUUUGGGGUCGGUUCACAGGUGGUGCAUGGCUGUCGUCAGCUCGUGUUGUGAGAUGUUGGGUUAAGUCCCGCAACGAGCGCAACCCUUGUUCACUGUUGCCAGCACGUUAUGGUGGGGACUCAGUGGAGACCGCCGGGGUCAACUCGGAGGAAGGUGGGGAUGACGUCAAGUCAUCAUGCCCCUUAUGUCCAGGGCUUCACGCAUGCUACAAUGGCUGGUACAGAGAGUGGCGAGCCUGUGAGGGUGAGCGAAUCUCGGAAAGCCGGUCUCAGUUCGGAUUGGGGUCUGCAACUCGACCUCAUGAAGUCGGAGUCGCUAGUAAUCGCAGAUCAGCAACGCUGCGGUGAAUACGAACCCGGGGCU
rnacentral:rRNA from 1 species